ACCGGCAGCUAGCUCUCUGCAACUCUCACAUGGUCGCCCACUGAAGCUAAGCAGGGCGGCAUAUGGUCAGUACCUGGAUGGGAGACCACAUGGGAAAGCUAGGUUGCUGCCGGAA
rnacentral:rRNA from 1 species